AAUAAAAGAUUAAGAUUUUAGCACAAUAAAUAGGAAAAGCAGGAAAGGCUUUAACACUUAGCUGAAUAUUAUUAACAGUUAUUUAUCUUAGCUCUCUUGCUGCUAGUCUGCCCAGGACAACAGGUGAGGUGUGGGGAAAAAAGAUCACAUCUGUUAAUCACAUUGAGAAGGGAGUUUCCCCCUCCAGCUCGGACACAAAGGGCUUCCUUCACCACUUCCUCAGAUGUCAGACUUGGAUCUGGGCAUUUCUGAUAAGAUUUCCAUAAGGAGAGAAUUCUCCAGCUAAAACAAGUUUGAAAAACACUGUUCUAACUUUAUACUGAGAAUUUACAAUAAAAUAAUUCAAAUGAUGCAGUGUGAUUAGCAAUGUGGCACAAUUCAGCAUUAGCUAUUAGAAAUUAUCCUGGGUGGUGUUUCCAGGAAUUAGCUUCCUGCUUAUUGGAUCAUGAAUUUGAAUAACCUUUGAGAAAAAUUUAUGAAUUAUUUAAUAUCUAGCAUGUUGAUUAUUUACAUUUUAAUAAUGGGAAAGUGGUAGCAAACACAUUUCGGUACAUUUCUGAUGUUUCCCAAGAUUUAUAAUUUGUCUUAUAAAGUACUUUAACCUGAGAGGAAAUAAGGAUUCUUAUUCUUUAUCAACAAAAGCUGUUUUGCUUUUACAUUGUUGGCCAAAGUUCAUACGACUUUAUAGACAGGGUUGUAAUGGAGGGCACAACAAAAAAGCCAAAUAAAAAAGCACAAAUUAUACUGUUUAUAUAUAACUCAUCUCAUAUUUUAAGAAAUAACUGCAAUAUUCAUAAUUGUCUUAUUCUUCCACAGUGAAAUUGUGUGGAGCCUUUAAUUUGAAAACAUCACAGACAUUAUGAAAAUUACAUGCCUUUUACAUUCCAAAGUUAAGCACUCAUUUGCAGAGCACUGCCUGGGGUAAGGCUACACUUGGAAAUGAGGUGAAUGUAAUACCAACUUGCUCAUUAACAAAUUCAGCUGAUGACCUGGCAGCAUUCGUGGCACUAAUGCUAUUAUAGAAACCUUACCUCCUAGGACACUCUGGAUGUUACCUGACGACGAACAACUCUGCAUAAGGCUCUUGUCCAGAGGUCAUCACUAGAGGUUCUCCUAGGCAAGCGGAUUCUGUUUCUAUUUCCAUACUGAAGCACUCUUCAGGUUCUGCAUUCUUUCAAGGGUGGUGAACCAUGGAAUCUGCUCUUCGAAUGAAGUGUGGAAGUUAUCCUGCUCAGUAAAAGUAACCUUUUCAAUUUUGUGGAAAUUCUUUAGUUGUCCAUUUUCACUAUGUAAAAUGGAUCACUUUCUGGUUGGAGUUACUAACCACCCAUAAUUUAAACCUUUCUGGGAAGCAUCUCACCACUGCCCUGAAGCUUAUUAUUGUUAGGGAGCUUUUGUUUAGUUGACUAUAAAGUUUAUUUUGGAAGCUCUCACUUCUCUUCAUUAUCAUUUUCUUGAGAAAGUUUGUUCCUUUGUGGCAUUGUUUCACUACCAAAAUUUACAUACUAAUUAUACUAAAAGUUUUCAAGAAAUUGGCUCUGCAGAUGACAGCCUGGGAGGCCAAAAACCAGGAAACAAAUGGCAACAACUGAAAAGGCAAGCAUCUCAAAUCCUUUAAGUGCCCAGAAUCCCGAUGCGACUUCUUUCAGUGAGCCAGAAUUCAUGACUAUUGUGUUCUUGGUCUACAACAACUAAAUACGAAGGGGUUUUAAAAUCUGUGCUUAAUUCUUUUAUAAAUCUGACCUGUUUCAUCAUACAUUUGAAAACUAAGGAUAUGUCAAGUUAGAAUUUACUCAAUGAAACCACAUUUUAAGGGUAGAAAUUAAGACUAAGGGGAAAAAGAGUUAUUCCUUUCUUUUAGUGUGCUGGUUAGACAGCAACAACAGAGUCCAGAGGAGCUUACAAUGAAAAGAGCAUUCCUUUCCCCUUCUCCCACCCGAAACUGCACUCCCCAUACACAGCUACUUUUAAAGUCUGUUCUAAGUUUCUCUGGUGGUUACUGCUACAAGAAUUUAAGUAAAAAUGAUUAAUGUAUAACUAGCAGUAAAAAACAACCAUAGACAUUGCCUAUUAAUCUUCUUACAUGAAAAAUGAAGAUUAAGUUCAUUUAUACUAACCCCAUCUCUCUCCCAUAUUUCUAAUAAUUAUAUUAUUCUAAUACUAUUAUUUGUUUCUUUUGUAAUCUUAAAUACACUUAAACUUCUCACUUUUAUUCCACGUUGCUUCAUUCCCUCAUUUGCAGAUAAGGAUACUGUUGCCCUUUCCACGUUCCCUACCCAACUUCUCCUGUGACAUCAACAAAUUUUAUAACUAUUACACAUUCUGUUGCCUAUGCAUAAUGAAAUCUUCUUGUCUUAUUAAACACUGAUUCUGAACGUUGAAAACCAGCAAACAGCAGCUACCUUCACAUGGCCCCAUGAACACUGCUGACUGCAGAGCAGAUGCUGUGAUAGAAUUUCCUUGUCCAAUGUCACACAACCAAAGGAAAAUAUUUCUAAUUUCAAGAUGAAAUGAACUUUUCUUUGAACUCCAUAAAAUAUUGAAAACCAUUACCUAUGAGGUCUUCUUGGCAAAAAAUGAUUAAACCUGAAUCUAACCAAACUUUCAUAAUUAGCUCCAAAUUACUGGAAAUAUGGUUAAAUGGUAUCUCAAGGAAGCAAACAGUCAAAUCCUGAAUGUGGGAUAUUCUACAGGAAAACUGAUACUAUUUCUUCAGUAUGUCAAAUGGCAUGAGAAAAAAAAGAGGGGGCCAGUCUGGAUUAAAGGAGGACUCAGACGCAGCAACCAGAUAUAACACAAGGACCUUGUCUGGAUCCACUUGAACAAAUUAAUUAUACACACACUUUUGAGAAAUCAGGAGAAAUGUGAUCAUGAACUGAAUUUUAGAUUAAACAAAGAAAUUAUUGUUAAUCUUGUUAGGUGUCAUAAGGCAUUAUGAUUAAAAAGGCAAGUGUCUGUAUUUACUUUAGAGAUUGAUAUUGAAAAAUGCAGGAGUAAAAAUUAUUUACUGUUUCUAACUUGCGCUUUUUUUUUUGUG